UAUAUAUUGGUGUAUUAGAGCACAUAAAGUUUUGAUCUUUAAAGAAAUGGUGUGAUUCCAUUUUAUAUAA
rnacentral:tRNA from 1 species